CCUACGGGAGGCAGCAGUGGGGAAUAUUGCGCAAUGGGGGAAACCCUGAUGCAGCGACGCCGCGUGAGUGAAGAAGGAUCUCGGUAUGUAAAGCUCUAUCAUCAGGGACGAAAAUGACGGUAGCUGACUAAGAAUCCCCGGCUAACUACUUGCCAGCAGCCGCGGUAAUACGGCGGGGGCAAGCGUUAUCCGGAUUUACUGGGUGGAAAGGGAGCGUAGGCGGCAGAACAAGUGAGAAGUGAAAUCCCAGGGCUUAACCCCGGAACUGCUUUGGAAACUGUGCGGCUGGAGUGCUGGAGAGGCAAGCGGAAUUCCUAGUGUAGCGGUGAAAGGCGUAGAGAUUAGGAGGAACACCAGUGGCGAAGGCGGCCUGCUGGACUGUAACUGACGCUGAGGCUCGAAAGCGUGGGGAGCAAACAGGAUUAGAUACCCUAGUAGUC
rnacentral:rRNA from 1 species